rnacentral:lncRNA from 1 species
GUUUGUGUUUUGAAAGACACAAAAACUAACAUAUUUAGCAUUUAUUUUCGAUUUGUAAUCCCUUGAGGCCCGCGUAGUAAUAUCAAAAUCACACAUUACGCUGAAGACGGGUUCGCAAAAAAAGAAUCUCGAAUGGUCAACAAUAAUACAUCGCUCAAGGUGAAUAAUUAUCUAUUUUAACAUAACAACUAAUUUCAACAGUAAAAACAAAUAACAAAAC